AGUGAACGCUGGCGGUAGGCCUAACACAUGCAAGUCGAACGGCAGCACAGUAAGAGCUUGCUCUUACGGGUGGCGAGUGGCGGACGGGUGAGGAAUACAUCGGAAUCUACUUUUUCGUGGGGGAUAACGUAGGGAAACUUACGCUAAUACCGCAUACGACCCACGGGUGAAAGCAGGGGAUCUUCGGACCUUGCGCGAUUGAAUGAGCCGAUGUCGGAUUAGCUAGUUGGCGGGGUAAAGGCCCACCAAGGCGACGAUCCGUAGCUGGUCUGAGAGGAUGAUCAGCCACACUGGAACUGAGACACGGUCCAGACUCCUACGGGAGGCAGCAGUGGGGAAUAUUGGACAAAGGGCGCAAGCCUGAUCCAGCCAUACCGCGUGGGUGAAGAAGGCCUUCGGGUUGUAAAGCCCUUUUGUUGGGAAAGAAAAGCAGCAGGUUAAUACCCCGCUAUUCUGACGGUACCCAAAGAAUAAGCACCGGCUAACUUCGUG
rnacentral:rRNA from 1 species